GACGAACGCUGGCGGCGUGCUUAACACAUGCAAGUCGAACGGAAAGGCCCUGCUUUUGUGGGGUGUUCGAUUGGCGAACGGGUGAGUAACAAUUUAGUAACCUGGCCUUGACGUUGGGAUUACUUCAGGAAACUGGGGCUAACAACCGAUAGAAUCUCCUGCUGCAUGGUGAGGGUUGGAAAGUUUCCGCGGGUGGGGAUGGACUCGCGGCUUCUCAGCUUGUUGGUGGGGUAGUGGCUUACCAAGGCUUUGACGGGUAGCCGGCCUGCGAGGGUGACCGGCCACAUUGGGACUGAGAUACGGCCCAGACUCCUACGGGAGGCAGCAGUAGGGAAUAUUGCACAAUGGGCGGAAGCCUGAUGCCGCAACGCCGCGUGCGGGAUGACGGCCUUCGGUUUGUGAACCGCUUGCGCCUGUGACGGAGCGUGAGUGACGGUAAUGGCUAAAAAAGCACCGGCUAGCUACGUG
rnacentral:rRNA from 1 species